GCACUAGUAGCUCAAUGAAGAGCAUUGGUUUUGUAAACCGAAGGCUGGGGAAUCAUCAACCCCCUAUUGCU
rnacentral:tRNA from 1 species